CAGCCUCAGCAGGUUGGCUGGUCCCUAGGCCCAGCUAGGUGAGUAUUUCUUCAAAAAGCUCACCUUCAAGCAUAACUAGGAAC
rnacentral:pre_miRNA from 1 species